UUUUCUAUGAUCUCAAAAUGAACAAAAAUAAACACACUAUGUUGUUCACAGCCAAAGUACAGCAUAUCUAUCGAGCAUCAUACCUUUGCAAUAAAAGGGCUUUCACAUGAUGCUAUACCAGAAACGGAAUUUUCACAAAAGACCAUCUUUGAGGAUUUGAUUGAUUUUCAGAAAAUAUAAGAAAUACAAAAUGUGCGGGAAAUUGAAGGUUGAAGAAGAUGUGGUCGAUGAAUAGAGGUGUAGAAAUAACAAUUGAAGUUGCUUUUACUUAGAGACGACUGUUGCUGGCUCUCACAGUACGGAUUACGCCAUCAAAAUUCAAAAGAAUGAUUGGAAGUUGCUUUGAUCUAGAGACGACCUUCACAAUACGGCAGAGAGACCUGGUCCUUAAGUUGCUUAUGUUUUCUCAUACCUAUACUACG
rnacentral:lncRNA from 1 species